GAUGAACGCUGGCGGCGUGCCUAAUACAUGCAAGUCGAGCGAACGGACGAGAAGCUUGCUUUUCUGAUGUUAGCGGCGGACGGGUGAGUAACACGUGGAUAACCUACCUAUAAGACUGGGAUAACUUCGGGAAACCGGAGCUAAUACCGGAUAAUAUUUUGAACCGCAUGGUUCAACGGUGAAAGACGGUCUUGCUGUCACUUAUAGAUGGAUCCGCGCUGCAUUAGCUAGUUGGUAAGGUAACGGCUUACCAAGGCAACGAUGCAUAGCCGACCUGAGAGGGUGAUCGGCCACACUGGAACUGAGACACGGUCCAGACUCCUACGGGAGGCAGCAGUAGGGAAUCUUCCGCAAAGGGCGAAAGCCUGACGGAGCAACGCCGCGUGAGUGAUGAAGGUCUUCGGAUCGUAAAACUCUGUUAUUAGGGAAGAACAUAUGUGUAAGUAACUGUGCACAUCUUGACGGUACCUAAUCAGAAAGCCACGGCUAACUACGUG
rnacentral:rRNA from 1 species